UUGUGAUAUUUAGUAUAUAGACAGCACCUCCAUCAAUAAAUGAUGCUAUAUCCUUAUUUUAGUGUUAAAUUGUCUUGUACAUUAUGCUGUUGAUUUAAGCUAGGGAGCUAGUGGGAAGUUUAGCUCUGCCUGUAUGUACUGGAGUGGGUACUUGCAGUAAAUCCCAGUAAAUCUCUGAUGCUAUGAGUUUUACAGUAUGUACAGACUGUGAUCAUGUCACCCCUUAACUUUCUCAUUGUUAAGCAGAUUGAGCUCUUUGAGUCUGUCACUAUAAAGCACUAUUAGGACUAACUUUCUUGGCCUUUUUCAGGUCGAUAUUUACUGAAUCCAUACCAACCUCUUUCUCCUUUUGGGUGGUGGCACAACCAGGUCACUUAUAUGUUGCACUGGAGGUGCAGUGUAAUAUAAUGGUGGACAAGAGGAUACUGCUAAUUCUUUGCCUGACCCUUAUCCAGUUCCUAAGUCAGUCUUCCAUGUCGUGAGAAAAAAUCCUGUAUUUUCUAGGGAAAAAUGCAUAAAGACAAGAGCAAUGAAGAAAAACCUUAGAAAAUCUGAAUCUCUUUUUAUCGAAGUGUCAGUUUUUUUGUAGAUAUAGGUAAUGCUGGAAGACGAUGUUAGCAAGAGCUUGAUUUUCAGACUUCAGUUGGAGUUGUGGGUGGUCAGCACUUCUGAAAAUCAGACUGCAAGAGAUUAAGUGUUAGAAGUUCAUCUGCUGGAAGAAAACCUGAGGAAAUUAUGUUGUUUUUAUCUAGGGAUAAGGAGAAGAAUUUCCCUCCUUUCUUUCUUUGGAAGUCUAUUUUUCAUCAACGCAUCAGAGAAUUAUAAAGAUUGGUACGCUGUCAGCAUGAUGAAGAUAGGGAUCACAAAAUUGAAAAUGGCCAUAGCAAAAAGGAAUGUGACGAAAUUUCUGGCUCCUAUUACCCCCGAGAGCCGCCUGGUUGCGCUUCCGUAUAGGAGCUGGAGAAGGGACAUGCCGCUGCUUCUGGGAGCCGCUUGAGGCAAUACCCAUUCCCACCGACAACAGAAUCUUCUGGAACCUCCUCAUUCCAACCUUCCCUCUCAUCUCAUGCUACAACUCCAUCACCAGGACUUCCUUUUUGAAUGGCAAGAGAGUGGGAAAUAACUUUCUUUAUCACUGCUGAAUUUUGAUAUAGAAAUCUCAUAUUUUACCCCAUUUCUUGCUAAUUAUUGAAUAUUGAUGGGAUGUCCCCUCAGAAUUUGCCCCUUUUUUCUCUAGUUGUCAAAUAUACAGAUCCAAUUUCCUCAGGUUUUAUCCUUCUUUUGCUAAUUUUCAAAUAUCUAUAUAAAUCCCCUUUGUUUCUCUUCUUUGUGCCUAAUUUUAAAAAGUGAUAUCAAGUCCCCUCAUAUUUUCUCCCUGUUUUCUCUAAUUAUUGAAUACUAAUAUACAACCCCACUCAGAUUUUGCAUUCCCCCAUUCUCCCCUUUUCUUAAACAGCAGCCACUUCUGGUUUUGGAGGGAAAACAGUUGGCCUGAGUCAAUAUCCUAGGAUGGGGCUGAAGUUAUUAAACAUCUCAGACCCUCCCCAAUGGUAAGCUUUCUCCUCAUGAAUAAGAAUAAUGUUAUUCCUCUUUCAGUCAAUAAAAACUGACAUGUUUGCAGAGUUUCACCAUAGUUAAAUUAAUCAAGGAUAGGAGCUUUCACCCCCCCCCCUGAGCUGGUAAUGUACCCAAAUGAAACUGCCCACGUCUAGAUGCCUAGUUGAACUCCAGUUCCUCCCAUUGCUGCCCACUCCCAACUGCCACAGAAUCUUCUUGAACUUACUGGUUCCAGUCUCUCCUCCCUUUUCCUAUUAAAGGCAUCAUCAUCAAGCAGGGGCAUCUGCUGCCUGUUUGAAAGGCAUGCAAAUAGGGAAUAACUUUCUCUAUAAUCAAAAUCAAAUUAUUUGGAAUCUCUUCCAGUUUUACCCAUUUUAUCCCUAACUGUCAAGGUAAAAUUCCCUUAGGUUUGUCUUUUUUUUUUUUUAAAUUCCUUCUUAAACUGCAGUCAUUUCUCUUGGGUUUUGAGAGAAAACAGUUGCUCUGAGUUAUUACUUUGCGGGGAUAGAGGAAGGUGUUAAAUUCCUCAAAUGUCAACAUUCCUCUUACAUAUGACAAUCAAACUGUUUCCUCAUUAAGUCAUUAAAAAUCAACAUUUGCUGAUUAAAGUUCCUUAAUUUAUACAUAAAAGCUUAGAGCCCUCCUCACAUAUUGGGGAAAAUGGUGAUUUGCCACUUCCAGUGCGACAGUUGCCUGGAUCCUAAUUGAUCAUUUUGUUCUAGAGGAGGCAGGAUGAAGGGGAGUUCAGGGUUCAACUCUAAGGGUAACCCUGUUACUCUUACAUCAGUUGAAAACAGGGCCGGCUCUGGCUUUUUUGCC